GAUUUUGGGGCUCUCUCUGGAUUUAACGCUUCCCUUCUCUCCCAGCGCCCUCGGGAGCCGCGGAGCCGCCGGGCGGGGCAGGCAGAGAGGGCGGGGCCGCGCACAAUGCGGCGAGGUCACAGUGCAGGACGCAGCCAGGGACCUUUGUUGUUUUAUUUUUGGGGGGGUUUGUGCCAAAAAAGCGGCCGAUUUCGGGGCCGGGGUUUUAAAAUCGCCGCAGUUUUCGGGGCCCGGCGGACGGCGACGCUCGCGGCGAGUGUAGGUUCCGCUCCAAGUACCACCCGGAUGAGGCCGGGAAGCGGCAGCAGGAGGCCCAGGCCGCCCUCAGGAACCGCCUCGGGGUCUUCCUCUACCUCUGGGAGCACGGCUGGUUCGACAACCUGCUCCUGGACAUCGACCGUGCCCCCCAAAUCAUCAAAACCCUCGACGCAGCGGUGA
rnacentral:lncRNA from 1 species